AGUCGCCUCCAAGUUAUAAUGGACAACGUCUCUCCUGCUGCCAGAGCCCAGAGAGGAAUAAACCAAGACCACCAGCUAAGACAUUAUGUAAUUGCCAUGGAUAUGAGUAUUGAAUGCCCUCAGGAAUUACCUACAAAGGAAACUGGAAACUCCAUGGCAUGUCUCUGUCAUCUUUUCCUCCAGAUGGUGCCUCCAAACCACUUCUGAAUGGGUUUGUGCAAAGCAGAACAUGACAUAACAACACCACAGAGUACAUAUCUGUCAGCCCUCUAUGAUCGCAAUGCUCAGGUAACGCAGGGACAAACAGAAAAAAAACCCAGAAAUAAUGACUUGAAAAACAUGGUUGAAGAUACCCAGAGAUGGCAACAAAAAAUUUUUACAGCUCCAACCAGUGAACAUACUAGUAAUUAAUACCAGAGACAGAAAUAUUAUCACUGAAGCCAUGGAGGAAGCCUUGGAAUCUAGAUCCCAACCAUUGAACUGCUGUGGUUUAAUUGUAUGAAACUGGGUUUCAAGAUUCAAGAUAUUGCUCAGAUCAUUCUGCAAUAAAUUCUUCAGAUUCAGCAAAGUCAGCAGGAAGGAGCCCAUGGCAGGAUGUCAUACUAACCUCAGCUCUGCAGAAAAUUGUGCCAUCCCAUGAAAAAAGGAUUGUUUUUCUGGAUUGCUCAGUUUUUUCCCAGCAGCCAGCCCUGUUGCACAGGUAGAAUCAGCAGUUGAUGCUACACAGAAAGACAAGCCAACAAGACCUUGCUCAGGUGAAACAAACCUGAAAGUAUCAGUAAGUACUUUAUUUGUACUGUUCAUUCGUAUAACUUUGCAGAAUACUGCAUGCAGCAGCUAGCAGAAAGAAUGUUCUAGAAGGCAACCUACUGUUAUCUCAGUGCCAAAAGGGCAAUUCUGCCAUUUCAAAAGGGCUGUGCUGUAAGUUCCACUCCUACCAGUACAUUUGCAUGAGAAAGCAAGAAAAUGUAUGCCUUGUUGUAAGGCCCUGUAAGGCUGCUCUUGCUAAUGAGUUUGGGGAAGCAGAAGGAGGCAUCUCAGAGGAACUUCACAUUUCUUGCACACAGUGCAGGUCAUCUUGCAGUUACAUUUGAGCUCCUAGGGUUGCAAACCAUCUCUAGUCUGGGAGACAGAGCUGCUGUUGCCAACAGAUUUUUUCAUUUUAAAAAUAAGUCCGGAGUGAGUGGUUUUCUGGACAAACUAUUGGCAGUUCUGUAACUUCGGACAUUAGGAAUGAUAGCAGAAAUCCCAUACGUCUGUUUCUAAAUUAGAAAUCAAAAUGGCCAUAUCCUCUGUUCAUGAUUUAAAAAGUGCUUUAGGAUUCAGAAAGAAACCAAUCUUACAGAGUGUUUCACAUAAUUUAGGAGCUUGUAAUGAACAGGAAUUUUUAAUCUGUCUGAAAUCUCCUUUCAAACUUAGCUCCUAGCUAUAACCUAACCUUCUGACUAACUGGGUAUAGUUAUACUGCCAGCAGCUAGAAAUUCAAUUGCACAGUGUUCUUCUGUCCUCACAAUAAACUUGAAAUCUCUCUAUUUUGGACCUCAGCCUGCAAUGUUCUGCAUGCCGCCUUCUGACCUCAGCUGUCACAGUGGCACCCUGUACCACAGAGGAAAGCAUCUUUGUUUUCCAUCAGCCUCCAUGCUAGUAUAUCAGGGAGAUGAAGAACAGAGAUUUUUAAACAUAUGCAUCACUGCAUGUGUUCUGUCUGUAUUUCUACUAUGCCAUGUGUACAUAUCACCACCUAGGAAAUGGGUACAGACAUUGUCUGGAACUAGGAGAAAUGGGAGGUUUAUGAAUUACAUCUUUUUCAAAAAGAGACCAUGCAAAAUGCUAUUCAGAUUGCUCACAGGGCAGCUAGAGAGAGCUGAGGUAUUUGGUACCCCAGUGUUAUAUGGCAGAAACCUUCCUAUCACAUCCUCAACAAAGCUCAUACUUAGAAAAUUAUCCAGUAAAAAUAAAUCUAAUCCAUUUAGGUUCUUUUACUAUGUCAGUCCUUCUUUUACCUGAUACCAUGGUGAACAGAGGCAAAUUCACACACUGAAAUGGGGAAAGAAUGCUAUGUUUAAUAGUGAAAAGUACUUCUUCACCAGUCGCAUAUUUUUUUCUCUACUUCUUUGGGGGUUUUUUUCCCCCUCCUUUGGUUGUUUGGGGUUUUUUUUCCCAUGAGCUCAGAAGUCAG